rnacentral:rRNA from 1 species
UACGUAGGGUGCGAGCGUUAAUCGGAAUUACUGGGCGUAAAGUGUGCGUAGGCGGCGUUGUAAGUAGAGUGUGAAAUCCCCGAGCUUAACUUGGGAAUUGCGCUCGAAACUACGAUGCUAGAGUGUGGCAGAGGAAGGUGGAAUUCCACGUGUAGCGGUGAAAUGCGUAGAGAUGUGGAGGAACACCGAUGGCGAAAGCAGCCUUCUGGACCAACUCUGACGCUCAUGCACGAAAGCGUGGGGAGCAAACAGG